rnacentral:lncRNA from 1 species
UGGACCAGAGCACGCCAGGCACUCCUGUCUUCCACUGCCUCCCGCAUUUUGGUCAAACUCAUGCUGAUAUCUUCGAGAACACUGUCCCACCAUCUCAUCCUCCAUCGUCCCCUUCUCCUUGUGCCCUCCAUCUUUCCCAACAUCAGGGUCUUUUCCAGGGAGUCUUCUCUUCUCAUGAGGUGGCCAAAGUCUUGGAGCCUCAGCUUCAGGAUCUGUCCUUCCAGUGAGCACUCAGGGCUGAUUUCCUUCAGAAUGGAGAGGUUUGAUCUUCUUGCAGUCCAUGGGACUCUCAAGAGUCUCCUCCAGCACCAGAAUUCAAAAGCAUCCAUUCUUCAGCGAUCAGCCUUCUUUAUGGUCCAGCUCUCACUUCCAUACAUCACUACUGGGAAAACCAUG